UACGAAGGGGGCUAGCGUUGCUCGGAAUCACUGGGCGUAAAGGGUGCGUAGGCGGGGCUUUAAGUCCGGGGUGAAAUCCUGGAGCUCAACUCCAGAACUGCCUUUGAUACUGAGGAUCUUGAGUUCGGGAGAGGUGAGUGGAACUGCGAGUGUAGAGGUGAAAUUCGUAGAUAUUCGCAAGAACACCAGUGGCGAAGGCGGCUCACUGGCCCGGUACUGACGCUGAGGUGCGAAAGCGUGGGGAGCAAACAGG
rnacentral:rRNA from 1 species